rnacentral:lncRNA from 1 species
UCCUACAUAUCCCCAAGAGGCACAAAGGAUCUGUCAUCUAAAAACCACAAUGAUUAUUUACAUUGCAUUCUUCUCUUUGUAGAAACUGCAGUGUCUUUUAAUAGCAAAGGAAUUGGGAUAGCCGGACCAUAACAUGAGAAAGGGAUCCUUUUUGAAACCCUAUAGAAUUGAUUAUCCCACCUGGUACUGAAGUAUCAUUCAUAAAGAAGGGUUCGAGACCCAAAUUCCCAACCAAGCUUCUAUCUACCUGUUGAGUUGUCCCACAUCGGAGGGAUUUGAGGUCCUUGGUCUCCUUAUAUGGCUUGGGCAAUCCUCACCUCAUAUGCUAGCUUUUGGGGUUGAGUUAGGCCCAAGGUCCAUUCUUAUCAUGGUAUCAGAGCCAGGUCCAUCCCAAUUAUAGGUCCUUGGUCUCCUUAUAUGGCUUGGGCGCUAGCUUUUGGGGUUGAGUUAGGCCCAAGCUCCAUUCUUAUCAUGGUAUCAGAGUCAGGCACAUCCCAAUUAUUGUUACCGAUGUUGGACCCCCAUUUAUGUUGUCCACGCUCCAGAGAUCUGGGCGUGAGGGGGGUGUUGAGUUGUCCCACAUCGGAG